rnacentral:rRNA from 1 species
GACGAACGCUGGCGGCGUGCUUAACACAUGCAAGUCGAGCGGUAAGGCCCUUUCGGGGGUACGACGAGCGGCGAACGGGUGAGUAACACGUGGGUGACCUGCCCUCCAGCUCUGGGAGUAAGCCUGGGAAACGUGGGUCUAAUACCGGAUAUGACUCCAUGACGCAUGUUGUGGGGUGGAAAGCCUUGUGCGGCUGAGGAUGGGCCCGCGGCCUAUCAGCUUGUUGGUGGGGUGA